AUGAUCAGAGAUGCGAUUCAUACCUUAAGAUGCAAGUCCGGAAGCGAUGGGAUCAGUGGGGGGCUUUCUCCUAUACCGCCGCCGCCGUCGCCACCGACACUGCCGCCGCAGAUGUCACGCCUUAUUCUUCUUCCUGCCGCCGACCACGUCUUUUAUAGUGAAGGGGACCAGGAGGAGGACGAGAACGACGCCGACGACGGUGAAUUGGUUCCUCUCGCCGGGCUCGUCGGACAGAAGGAAGAGGACGAGAAGGAGGACUUGACCGAGCUACUAGAUCUAGACGUGGUUCUGGUCGAGAAGGAGGACUUGACCGAGCUACUAGAUCUAGACGUGGUUCUGGUCGUGGACGUGAUCGGUCAAGAAUCUCGUGAAAUUGAUUGGGAGAUGCACUACAAAUUGAUCAAAGGGACUUGCGCAGGCUUACAUUACCUCCACAAGGGCCGUGCAGAUUGUCCAAUUGUUCAUCUGAAUUUAAGCCCGUCAAAUGUAUUGCUUCACAAGAACUACGUACCAUGCAUCACAGGGUUCGAUUUUUCGAAGCUCAUUGGGGAAAAGAACACCAAAUCCCUGGUACUUAAGCUUAAUGGGCCCAAUGCUUACCUGCCACCAGAUUUCUUCCACUCCAAGGGUACUGACCUCAAAUAUCUAGCUACGGUGGAUAUAUACAGCUUGGGUCUUAUGAUUCUAGAGAUAGCAACACAACAAGAGAUCAAAGGCAACCACGGAGUGCUUAUUAAGAGUAUAGAGGAAAACUGGAGGGAAGAGUCACAAAUAAGAUGGUUGUAUACCUCACUAGAAGCUGACGAACUGCAGCAAGUAAAAAUGUGCAUUGAUAUUGGCCUACACUGCGUCCAGUCAAAGCCUGAAAAGAGACCUACCGCUAGGGACAUCAUGCUCUGGCUUGAUAAAGGGGUCAAUCCAGUCCCAGCCCCAAGAGCAGGUGGAGGAGUGUCAAGACCUACAGUCUCAGUUCCAAGUGCAGGUCCAGGAGGGGUGCCAAGACCUCCUGUCCCCACUAAUAUCACCCAUGCAGAUGACCGCAUCCAAGCAUCAAGAGGAUUCAAACAAUCCAAAUGUCUUCAUCUACUUCUGUUCAUCCAAAUCGACCGGUAA
rnacentral:rRNA from 1 species